UCCGGCUUGCCACCGGCAGUUCCACUAGAGUGCCCGGCCGAACCGCUGGCAACUAGUAGCGAGGGUUGCGCUCGUUGCGGGACUUAACCCAACAUCUCACGACACGAGCUGACGACAGCCAUGCAGCACCUGUGCACUCGCCAGCCGAACUGAAGGAAGCCAUCUCUGGCGACCAAACGAGGCAUGUCAAACGUGGGUAAGGUUCUGCGCGUCGCGUCGAAUUAAACCACAUGCUCCACCGCUUGUGCGGGCCCCCGUCAAUUUCUUUGAGUUUUAACCUUGCGGCCGUACUCCCCAGGCGGAGAGCUUAAUGCGUUAGCUGCGUCACCGGCAGGCAUGCCUGUCGACAACUAGCUCUCAUCGUUUACGGCGUGGACUAC
rnacentral:misc_RNA from 1 species